ensembl:lncRNA
CUGAAUCCUAGUGUCACUACGCAUGUGCGCGCAGCCCGGUAUCGUUACCUGCGCAUUGGCUGGUCACUUGACUGAUCGAGCUGUGUGUGUGUGUGUGAGUGAGUGUGUGAUCUGUGUUAAUACUCAGUGAUGGACAGCUCGGUGUUGUUAGAGGCUCUCUCCUGCCUGACAGGACUGACGGUGAAACCGCACACCGACUCCACGGGGCUGGAUAUUGAUAUUGGGGAGCUCACGGUGCACAACUUCGUGUCCUCGGCGCUGCUUCCACUUAUCCUGUGUAAAGAGGAAGUGAGAGAGCCGCAGCCUGAAGAACCUAAAGAGCUCCGAGUUAAUCUGGACACGUUUUGCGCUCCUGGAUUUAAUUACGACUUCCGGAACCUCAAAGAUGACUCGCAGUGCGCGCGCGGCGGAGAACCGUACAAACGGCCGUGCGGAUGGUUCCGGUUCGCUCUGAAGGUUCUUAAUAAAUACCCGGAUGGAAACACCUGGCUCGGCCCCGGAGGAUGGAGGAGCGACUCUUCUCCAGGUGAAUGGCCCGUAUCCUACCACGGAACCGGAAGAGAAGGACAGAACCAGUUUACCGGGCCGCGCGAUCCGCAGGAGUUUGGUAUUUUCUCCACUCCGGAUAUUAAGCUGGCCGAGCAGGACGGAGAACUGCACAAAGAGUUCACCUCCAAAAACGGAAAGAGUUACCGGGUCAUCAUGCAGAACCGGAUCAACCCCGAGCACCGGGUCAAAAAGUCCGAUACGCUGUGGCUCGUGCGCGUUCCGCUGGAAGUUUACGCGCUCAGCGACGAGAAGAAACGGAAAGAGGAGAUGAAGAAGAUCGUGGAUCAGUCCAUCCGCCCGUACGGCGUCCUGCUGAAGGAGAUGUAGAGCAGCACACACUCCUCUGACGUCAUCAACAACAUUACUCCUUCAGCUUUAAUAAGGCUUUCAUUCUAUUAUGGUCUGGUCUAUAUAUAACUGCUGUUUAUUCAUAUCUGUUAAUACCAUAUAAGGUCAUGAGCUCUAUUAUUGUCUAUUAAUACAUAAUUAAUUAUUGCUUCACAUGGAGGAAAACUUUACAAGCACAAUUCUACUUAAUUUCAGC